GGCCUCGCCUCUCCACUCCCCUCCGAGGCCGACGCCGCCGGCGCUCCAGCUUCCCGCCGACUCGGGCCGCCUGUUGCGCGCGCCCCGGGGCCCCGGAGGCCGCGGGAGGAGUCCCGCCCAGGGCGGCCCGGCGGCGCGGGGGAGACACCCGCGCCGGCUCCAACGCUGAAGUUGCAGCAGACUCGGAGGGGACUGUCGGGGGCCCUGGGGGCUCCGGGGGACCAAGGAAGCGCCGCGCGGCCCCGAGCCCCCUCCCUCCAGCCCGGCUCCUCAGUUUUCCCCCUUCAAAGUUAGCCAGGCUCGACUGGCCGCAGCGGCUCAGGGCUGCGGGUCCGACGCCGUCUGAGCUGCCUGGUAGACGGGAGGAUGAGUCUGGAUCGCACUUGGGGCGAAGACUUGAAGGACCGUGGGGGUGCAGCCUCUCAGGCACUGCCUGGCCCGCCGCGGCGCACCCGCACAGGCGCUGGCGAACGCGCUCUCUGUUCACCUGGCAUGCGCAAAGACCUCCCUCCAGCUCUCCCGGCUCGCUGCAGAGGGAGACCCCGCCUGGAACGCGCCCUCCGAGGUCGGAGGGGGGGGCACGCUGACCUUUUCAAGAAAAAGGAAAGGAGAAGGCGCCCCCGAGGUGGUCAUUCUUCCGGCUCUUGGCCGGUGAGUCUUCACCUCAGCUGAGAACCGCGGCGGCCAUCCUCCCGGACCGUCACCUCCACCCUCCUUCCCCGGCAAACGCAGCACAUAUUCUCCCAGAGCAGGGCCCUCGGCCCGGUUCGGUUCGCUCUUGUCUGAUGCUUGUUUAUCAAAUGGGGUCUGUGUCGCAGGGAAUGAACCGGGGAGAGGGCUGGACGAAUUUGGUCACCCCUCACUCCAUGCUGUUGGAGAAUUUAGCUCCCUGUAAAUAAACUAUGCUGGAGAAGAGAGGGUGGAACGGCCGCCGUGGAGCAGCGCCAUGCCAGGAGAGCCCCAGCCCUGCGGGAGCUGUGAGCGGGGCGCGCAGCCCCCGUAGGGGUGGCCGGCAGCUGGAGCCUGCGCCGGUGUGCGGGGCACCCUGGCCUUCCCGCGGGGUCUCAGGCCCGGGGACUGCCCGCUACUCUCGGGCAGUGCUGGCGACGGCCUGUGCCAGUGCCGGGAAGCGGGAGGCCGGCCUGGCGGGGGCUGACAUUAAAUUCAGCUUCCAGACUAAGAUGCCGGGAGGACAGAGGGGGACUCCUCCGCGCUCCGUUCUGUGGCUCUUACUUAAGGUCACCAGCAGGAAGAAGCAAAAUCACCCCGCUGAACAAGUUGACAGGCCCUGGGGCAGUGGAGAGUAAAGUGAAAGAGGGAGAUCCCAGAAGGAGACAAAGAGCACCACAAAGGGGACAGACAGAGCAGAAGUGACAGAAAAAUCAUUUUAGCAGCCAAGAAGUUAUGUACCUUUUCUGAAUGAGAAGAAAACAAUGACUUGCCAUCUGAGAACGCAUCCUGAUUUGGAGUCCAAUGAUUUGCAUAUUGGUACACUGGACUUGGGGAGGGGAAGCAUAUUAAUUUGUGUCUGUUGCCUGCAGCUGGGGCCAAAACAGCCGUAGAGAACCAAUGACCUUUCUCCCCAAAGCUGGCAAUUAGGAAGAGUAGGAAGUGAGAGCGCCCUGUGUCACAGGAGACACCAGCUGGCUAAGCUUGGCUGGUCUCCGUUAGCAAAGAUCACAAAAUGCAGCGACAUCAGUACCAGGCGGUAUCUACUUAGGGCUAACAGCCUAGGCAGCAGUGAUCAAAUUAAGUCUCAUUCCUAAUGACGGGUUGGUAGGACAACUAGCAGUCUUAGAGAGGAGCGGGCCCAGCUUGAGGCCCACGGAGCUCUGUGUGUUCUCUACCCUGGGAAAAGGUGGAACUUGAGAAAACCUUACUGUCUAGCUGUGCAGUUGCAUUUGGGGGAACAGGCAAUAAGUUCUGGAAGGCUGGCUGAAAAGAGUAGACAGGAUGAUAGCUCAAAAUGAGAUCCAUCAAUGACUUCGUUGUAGCCCCAGCCAAACAAUCAAAAGCAAAUAGUCAGCUUCUGAAAUCAAUGCUUCAGGAGAUGAUGAGCCAGCCCACGGGGUUCACAGGCGGGUGGGUGGGAGGUUGGGGAGGAAGGGUAGAAAAAUUCUCUAUUUCGAGCCACCAACCAAAACAAGCAGCUGCAUUUCCUUGAGAUUUGGUUCCUAGCAAAAUCAGAACUGCAGUCUCCUAGCAAAGUAAAACAAAGGAGCAGGGGACGAGACACUUUUGAAAACAGGAAGGCGUUUUGGCAACAAUCACAGGAGGGCUGGUAAACCAUUGUGCUCUUGGGAUCCAUCUGCUGAGCUCCAGAACAUCCUCCCCACUCUCCACCCCCAACCAGCUCUCAGAUUGCAUGCUCAGGGUCAAGAGCAGGGUCAUUCAGAAAUAAAAGGUAAAGUGAAAAAGACAGACUCAUCCCAAAGAUGAGAAGUGAGAAAAGCUGGGCCUUAUUUCUUCCAACCAUGGAGGACAUGAUGAGAGAGACAGGAAAGCUCUUCUGAUGUUCGAUGCCAUUUCAGGAGAGCAAGAGUGGGCUUAAUUUAAUUAAGUGAAAUAUACUUAAAAUUAAAAUUGGUGGCCAAUUUCUAAUAAGCCUAGAAUUUGCUGCUGUGAGAAACCAUUGAGAGAAGCACAGUGACUGCAUCUUUAAGGAACUGAAUAAUUUGAUAGCUAUUAAUAAUCUUGUUAGUCAUGCGAUACAAGUAAACCCUAGCAAGGUAAUCAAAUUGCAUGCUCCAUAGCAGAGAUCAGGGCUAUCUGGGGGGAAAAUUAUAUAGUCUCUCUUCAAUGUCAAUGUAUAUGAAAACAUCUUCCACAGACCCCUCUUCCCAAUGUAAAGGGAAUAGAAAGUUACAUCAUCAUAGCACACAUAUCAACAUACAUACAUGACAAUACAAUAUCAUAUAUAUAUAUACAUAUGUUUUUUAAAUAGAGCGUCAUACUUGAUCUCAUGGUCUGUGAAACCACCAGAUUAAAACCCCAGCAAAGGUAAUCACCUACAAGAGUCAGAAGAGAAUUCACAACUCUGAAUUUUACAUCUUCACUUGUACAUUACAGGAGAUUCACGUAUAGGACUCCUUUCCUUUAUAACUUAGGGCUCUUAAUAUUACUUAGUGGACCAUUAACCUGUUUCAAUAUAGCUUUAGAUUUUUCUAGCCAAGGAGAGUAAAAUAAAGAUGCUUAAUUUAGUUCCUUUUCCCACAAGAAAUAAAUAGCUGUCACAGAUCCAGAACAGCAGGGUUCAUGAACCGCUUUGGAACCUGGAGAUCAAUGAAAUCUGAUCCUCUCUUGAGAAAAAGAGAUCUACAUAGAAUUUAACCAAAGAUUUCCUACCAGAGGCAGUCCUGGUCAUCAGGAAGCCUUUGAAGACCCUCCCAGGUUUCCUGUUCAGUCUUGUUUGAUCUCCAGUGAACAUUAUAAUUACCAUAAAGCAGUUUUUUAAAUGUAAAUUACUCCAUAGUUGCAAAAUAACUAUGUCCAGUCUAGGCAACUAAUUUCUGAUUUCUGGAAUUUCCCAAAAGAUCGGUCUAAAAUAGAUGGCAUACAUAACAAGAUAAUUCAACCUCUGAAGCAAAUUUACUUGUAAAGAUGAUGGUUAUGGUGAGGACUAUUUCUUCCUUGCUCCUUCAAUCUCUCAUCCCAGUAACUAAUAUUUACACAUGAAAGGAUGUUAUGUUUUAAUACAUCCUCAUGUAAUAUAGGUUUCUUACCAAUUGUAAUUAAAAAUGGACCUAGCUUCAGUUUAUUUUUUGUCCUCACUUAAGCCAUCACCCUUAGGAAAUGUAACUUAAUGGUUCUAAGUGGCUAUACUUGAUGCUUAAGACUGAGACUAAAUAGCAGUGUUAGAUGUGGAUUUUGCCCUCCAAGGUCUUACAGUCUAGUUGUGGGUAUCAUAAAAGGAAAACUACAAAUACAAGGAAGCAUUUAUCAGGUGUCAGAGAAGCAGUGUUCAUCAUUGAUAUAGCCUAAGUCCAAAGAACGACUGAGCACCUAGAAGCCGUGGGAAAGUCUUUCAGGGGAGGAAAAGGGUCUUUGUAAAGGCACAUAAGCUGCGGUAAUUUCAUUGCUUUAGGGAAAUAAUGAAGAGUAGUUUGGCUCAUGUAUUUAUUCUACAAACACUAUUAAAGUGAUGUGGUAUAGUUUUUAAUGGCACAAGCUCUAAGGAUAAAUAGAUCUGAGUUCAAGUCCUGAUUUUACCAUUACCCUUGUUGAGUGAACUUAGACAAAUUAAUAUAAUAGCCCUUUCAUAAAGCUGGGGAAUUACAUGAGAUGACACCUGUAGAGUGAGAUGCUAUCUUAAAGUACUUUAUGUUUUACAUGAACAUAGCACAAAGAACUUAGGGAUAUUUACCUCUUAUAUGUACUGAGCACCACAAUGUGCCAGAUACAAUUGAAAGUGCCAAGCUGCUACUAACAAAGAGAAAGCCUCUACCCCUGGAUCUCACAGAAACUUCAUAUAGUGGAGUAAUGGGAGUUGAUGUUGAAAAGGUAGGUAGAGACUAUUUAUUGUGCAGAGCCUUGAUUGCUAGAACACAUAUUUAGAACCUUAUAGUGGAGGUCAGUGGUGUCAUCAAAGGCUUUGGAACUGGUUAAUAAUUAAUAACAUUUUUAUGAUUUGUGGUUUACUUGGAAAUAACAAAUUAGGAUGGCUUCUUCUACCUUCUGCUAAUUUUUACACAAAUGUGAUUCCAGUACAACAUAUACCAAAACCAUAUGAAUAGAGUGAGUUCAGGAGUUAGGGCUGCUAAGAAUGGGGAGUAACACUAACACCUGAGGUAAUGGAAAUCGGAGAAGGCUGGUAUCAGUAAUGGCAGCUGGAUGUCUUCCUUGGCUUGUAUCCAAGGAAUUCAUGAAGUUCCAAAAUGUUUUAAGGAAGCAGAGGGCAGGAUGUAUCAGCAGAAGAUUCCAGGUAAUAAGCACAGAUAGAGUUCUGUUAGAGAUCUGUCUGUGACAGAGGGUAGAGUGAAUAGAACCUGUGGCUUGGACACAGUUACCCUGAAUACAUCUCUAACACAUUUCAUUUUCAUGUCAGGGUAAGGGACUUCACUAUUUAUACAACACAUUUAAGUAAUUUAAUGUGUUUGUACCUUUAUAAUUUUCAUACCCUAUACUAAAUCCUCAAUCGCUUUACCUUACUUAUGUCUGGAAUGAUAUCCCUAGGCUCUGGGCCUGGACCUAGAGGUGAGUCCCAUUAGUAGAUCUAGUCAUAAGUAACUGGAGAAAACAAAGGCAAUAGUGAAAAGAAAAAGACUGACACUAAAGACUGCUUGGAAUAUCAUGCCCUGGCAUUUUGUUUGUCAUAAAUGUUCCUUGAAAUAAAAUACUCUAUUGAUUGAGAUCUAGGUAUCUUUUUGUUAUAAAGAGAUUUUGUUGUAAUAGGAACUUGGAGGAAAUAGAUAUUUGAGUUUAGGAAACUUUUCUUAAAUUAUCAUUCGCAUACUUGACAGUAUUUAUUGAGUUUCUACUGUGUGCUAAGCACUAGGGAAAGGCGAAUGAACAAGAAAAAUACAAACAUGGUUUCUGCCUUCAUGAAACUUUUAAAACAGGGAGGGAGAAACUGGAAAAAAAAAAGACAAACUGACACCUACAACAAUUUCAAGUUAAAGUAAAUGAUGUUUAAGACUCAAACAUGGGCUGAAAUAAUGAUGAUGAUAGCCAGGCACUGUUCUAAAUGCUUUAUGCAUCAUAACUAAUCCUUACAGCAACCUUCUGAAGUAUGUACUAUUAUUAUGCCUGUUUUACUAUGAAACUGAGAUGCAGAGAGGCUAAGUAACUUGGGUAACAUAGGUAGUGGUAGGCAGAGCCAGGAAUGGAUUUGUCUGACUCUAGAGCAUGUUUUCCUAGCUAUUGUACCAAAGAAGAAGUUGGAUAAACUGACUUUAGAACAGUUGAUACAAAAAAAAAAAAGAACAGAUGAUCAGAAAAGGCCUAGGGAAGUAACAUUUAAUUUGAGAUCUAAAGACCACCUAAGGCAGUCUACAUUGAUGACACUUCACUGACUGCCAAGAGAUGGUCUGUUGAGCAAACUUGAUUUUCUUCAAGAUAUUUGCUAGCCACUGGGUGAUAUGAUAUAUGUUGGCAAAUUGAACUCCAAUUAAAAAAAUUUUUUAAAGAUAUUUGCUAGCAAUUAGACCAGGAAAGUUUUAGUAAAAACAGUAAGAGCUUUG
rnacentral:lncRNA from 1 species